CAGGGGCGUAGCUACCCGGAGGCACGACAGCACGUGCAUCCACGUAGUUUUCACAAAAAAAAAAGAGAGAGAGAGAGAGAGAGAGAGAGAGAGAGAGAGAGAGAAGAGAGAGAUGAAUUGGUUAAUCGGAAUCGGACAGAGUGAUGCAUCUAUUAAUUUCUAUUAUGAACAUGAUAUUUGUUAAACGUUCGGAGACUGUUUGUGUCUUUUCCAUGCCGAGAGCUGCCGGUAGACAGCGACAUCGUGUAAAUGUACCACCUAAAACGCCCAGUCAGUACUGGAAACGUGCAAUGUUUCUAUCAUUUCUUGAUCUCCGGAAACACGAACUUACACGCAGAUUGGUUUCUAACGAAGAGCGGUUUUCUGCCCAGUAUUUGAAAUCAACAAAGCCAAAAAGGAUUAAUUAGGAAGCAAUCAACAUAUCAUUUGAGACGUAUAUAAAUGACCUUACUGUUAACAAUGUAGUUUCGCGAGGAAGUUGAACGAUGGAUUUUAAGGUGGGAUAUAGCAGCGGCCUCAAAGCCAUCCUCUCUUUCGGAAACUCUGCCAAUGACAAACAGUGACUUAUAUCCAAACAUUUACAUUUGUCUGCUGAUUCUAGUAACAAUGCCGGUGACAACAGCAACAGCAGAGAGAAGUUUUAGCGUAAUGAGAAGAGUGAAAACUUAUGUCCGCUCUACAUUACAUAUCUAUACAGAAAGACUUUCUAGUCUGUCCAUCCUUCAUGCAUACAAACAUUGGGAAAUUGAUUUUGAAAAAGUUAUUGAUGCAUUUGCUGUUAAGAAGAAACGUCGUUUGGGAUUCCUUUUUUUCUGACCA
rnacentral:lncRNA from 1 species